UACAGAGGGUGCUAGCGUUGUUCGGAAUUACUGGGCGUAAAGCGUGCGCAGGCGGUUUUGUAAGCCAGAUGUGAAAUCCCCGGGCUUAACCUGGGAAUGGCAUUUGGGACUGCAAGGCUUGAGUGCGGCAGAGGAGACUGGAAUUCCUGGUGUAGCAGUGAAAUGCGUAGAUAUCAGGAGGAACACCGGUGGUGUAGACGGCUCUCUGGACCGUAACUGACGCUGAGGAGCGAAAGCAUGGGGAGCGAACGGG
rnacentral:rRNA from 1 species